UACGGGGGGGGGCAAGCGUUGUUCGGAUUUACUGGGCGUAAAGGGCGCGUAGGCGGCAACUCAAGUCAUCUGUGAAAUCUCCGGGCUUAACUCGGAACGGUCAGAUGAUACUGUUUUGCUAGAGUGCAGAAGGGGCAAUCGGAAUUCUUGGUGUAGCGGUGAAAUGCGUAGAUAUCAGGAGGAACACCGGUGGCGAAGGCGGUUCUCUGGGCCUUACCUGACGCUGAGGAGCGAAAGCGUGGGGAGCAAACAGG
rnacentral:rRNA from 1 species